rnacentral:lncRNA from 1 species
UUAUUAUUAUUAUUAUUUACUGAUUUUGGUUUUGAAAUAUUAUUAUAUUAUAUUGCUGCUUCUGCUGAGAUCUUAUCAGUAUGCUGUUUGGCUGUUCUGGAAAUUAGAAAACAUGAUAAUGACAGUAAAAUUAUAUGCUUUUGUCAUUUGGGUUUUCAUUUUUUCUAAUAAAAUAAAAGUUUACAAAUAGGUGAAUUAAAUUAAUAAGAAAUCUUACAUCCAAAAUCAUGGAUUUUGUGACUUUUGUUGAGGCUUUGUAAAUUUGAUUUUCUUCAAAAUUUGGGAUAGGGGAAUUUUUUUUAUUAAUCAAAGUGACACUGAUGGUCAUUUUACAACAGUCUCCGACGAGAUUUGAAUUCGACUCUUACCACUGAGCUAGCACCUCAAUUAUAUUUAUUAAUUGCUUUCGUUAAAAGAAAAUUUUGAUGAAGUGGUUUACAUUUAGAUUCUCUGUUCAAUGCAAAAACUAACGUUUUAUUAAAGCAAGAUUGCAUUUAUGUGAGUUAACAUCAUAAGAACUAAUGAAUGCAAAAAAAAGAGAAUGGUUUCAUAGCUCAAAGAUCAUUGGAGAACUUAAAAGCUUGUGUUUUUUUAGUGCCUGUUUGGAUUAAUGGUUGCAAUUUGAUUGUAUACUAUCUUGAUUUUACAAAUUGAUUGUUUAAAAUGUUAGUUUUGAGUGAAUUUGCAUAUGGUUGAAAACUUUUAUCGCAACAGUAGGUUUCUGGUAAAAACUGCGCAUAACUCUUAACUUUACAUUGAGUUACGUUUUUUACUUUUAUUGAACGUUCAUUUUGGAGCAAACUUUAUUUUACACGAAAACAAUCAAACGGCAAACAGGACUUUUUUUAACAAAAUCAUGUUUCUCUUCGAC